UGGGGAAUAUUGCACAAUGGGCGAAAGCCUGAUGCAGCGACGCCGCGUGCGGGAUGAAGGCCUUCGGGUUGUAAACCGCUUUUAAUUGGGAGCAAGCGAGAGUGAGUGUACCUUUUGAAUAAGCACCGGCUAACUACGUGCCAGCAGCCGCGGUAAUACGUAGGGUGCAAGCGUUAUCCGGAAUUAUUGGGCGUAAAGAGCUCGUAGGCGGUUUGUCACGCCUGGUGUGAAAGUCCAUCGCUUAACGGUGGAUCUGCGCCGGGUACGGGCAGGCUAGAGUGCAGUAGGGGAGAUUGGAAUUCCCGGUGUAACGGUGGAAUGUGUAGAUAUCGGGAAGAACACCAAUGGCGAAGGCAGAUCUCUGGGCUGUUACUGACGCUGAGGAGCGAAAGCAUGGGGAGCGAACAGGAUUAGAUACCCUGGUAGUCCAUGCCGUAAACGGUGGAUGCUGGAUGUGGGACCCUUCCACGGGUUCCGUGUCGGAGCUAACGCGUUAAGCAUCCCGCCUGGGGAGUACGGCCGCAAGGCU
rnacentral:rRNA from 1 species